ACAAGCCCCAGAUCUGCCUGCUGGAUGACAGGAGGCUGGGGCCAGCAGCACCAGCCUCCUGUCAUCCAGUAGGCAGAUCGGGGCCCCCCA
rnacentral:pre_miRNA from 1 species